AUGGUGUGGAUUUCGACCCUUGCUGGAGACAGUUCAAGCCUCAGGCGCCCCAAGAGGUGGGUCAGUCACCAGGCUGUAUAAUUCUGGGCUCUGAGGCAAGCAAUGAUGAAGGCUGAUUCAUGGAUGAGAAAGCUAAGGCAGAGCUGGUUCAAGUGACAAGUUCAGGGGCUAUCACACACCUCCCAUCAGGGGCAGAUCCAGGACUGGAGAGGGCAGCUCAUGUGCCAUCCUGACUCUGUACAGAUGCUGGUACAUACGAGAUGUAGAAAAGAUGGCUGGAGCCUGACAGCUAUCUAAGUCUGGGAGGAAGAGACUGUGCCUUUGGUGGUGGAAUUCAAGAUGGUUGCUCCUUAGGACAUCCUGGAGCUCCCAUAGCAGCCAUGAGCUGCUUUCCUCCAGAUCUCUUUUUACAGAGGUGAAUACACUUCUCACUUGCUGAA